rnacentral:rRNA from 1 species
CCUUACCUGGCCUUGACAUCCAGAGAACUUUCCAGAGAUGGAUUGGUGCCUUCGGGAACUCUGAGACAGGUGCUGCAUGGCCGUCGUCAGCUCGUGUCGUGAGAUGUUGGGUUAAGUCCCGUAACGAGCGCAACCCCUAUCCCUGGUUGCUAGCAGGUAAUGCUGAGAACUCCAGGGAGACUGCCGGUGACAAACCGGAGGAAGGUGGGGAUGACGUCAGGUCAUCAUGGCCCUUACGGCCAGGGCUACACACGUGCUACAAUGGCGCGUACAGAGGGCUGCCAACUCGCGAGAGUGAGCCAAUCCCUUAAAACGCGUCGUAGUCCGGAUCGGAGUCUGCAACUCGACUCCGUGAAGUCGGAAUCGCUAGUAAUCGCGAAUCAGAAUGUCGCGGUGAAUACGUUCCC